UGCCACUUGUCGUGAAGAACUGCUAUUUCAGGAACUCGUAUUUAGUAGUCCUCUUACUCAAGUAGAAAAAGUUAUAUGACUGGAAAAAACCGUCUCAAACGCUAGAAGGCACGGAAGAAGAAAAAUCGGUCAGUUAUAUCACUGGAAAAAUAGAAAUGCCACAUUUGAAUACAGGCAACCAUACUCUUAGAUACCGUACUUGAAUCCCAGUGGCUGGGAAGACAUUGCAAGAUGAUUUUUCAAAUUCGGCUGAAUGUGAAGGAUUUUCAGUGUUUACAAUACUGAAAUCGUGUGAAUUGUGUUUCACAGUCUCCCUUGCAUGUGACUUCAUGCAUUUGUUAUCCUGAUUGCUCAAGCAUUCGUAAAAUGUCAGCUUUCACAGGUGAUGAGUUUCAAUCUAUGAUAUAUUAAUUACUAUGAAAACACCCAGAUGCAUUCUUAUGAAUGUUUAUAGCCACAAGCAGGAGAUUGGUCUGGGUCUAAGAAAUAUGAAAAAUGAUGUUUCUGUUUUGACAUUCACAGUUAAGGCUUGGCUGGGUAAUCUUGUAAUUCCCCCUCCUCUCCAAAGUUUACAGAUAAGUAUGUUUCUGCCCUCCCCCCAGCCCUCAAAAAAGCUUUAUUAACCAAAUAGGUAUUCAUUCUUCAAUGCUGUCAUUAUAAUUGCCUUGAGAACUUCCUUUUACUAUCUAUUUCAAUUAUUUAAUUGCAUUUCUAAAAGAAUUUUUUCCCCUCCCAAUUUUUCUAAUAGGUUAUUUUGUAUUUUUUGUUGUUUAAAAUCAUUGAUAUAAUUGCAAGGUUUACCAUUCUAAAACCCAUCUCUCAAAGGAUGGCUACUGAUAUGACCAAGAAGCAGUGGGCAUCCAUUAUGGAACUUAAAGGCAAGGUUUGAAUUUCAUCUUCAAUUUUUCCAUUCAUAUAAAAUGGCUGCUGUUUGAAAACUAAUGGGAACAGUGAUCUUAUAUCUUGGAUGAAUAGCUGGGGUUUUGUUCAAUACUGAAACAGCCUGACCUCAUAGAUUCUGCCUAGAUUCCAAAAUUCAUAGAGUAGAAAGAGAGAUUCAGGCAGUCACUUCUGACAUUAAUGCAGGAAUCCAAAUCCAGGCAUCCCACUCAAAUGACUGUUUACCCUUUGCUUUGGCACAACCAAUGAAGAGAAUUUUCCCUUUGCAAUGAGUAGUUGGUUCCAUUAUCAAAUGUUUCUUUUUAGAAAAGUUUUUUUUUCCUAACAUGCUUUCAGAGUGGGCCUUCAUCUAACUUAAAUCCAUUCUUCUCUGCCAUUUGUGAAGAGAAAAUGGUCGGGAAGACAAGUUAGGAAUUUCUUGGAAAGAUCAUACCUGACAGAGUUUGUCUCCUAACAGAUGUUAGGUAAUUAAGUCUCCUAUCACUAUGAAUUUGUGUCACUUUAAAAGAUUUGCAAUUUGUUCUAGAAUAGUGUUUCUCAACCUUGACAAUUUUAAGGCAUGUGGACUUCAACUUCCAGAAUUCCACAGCCAGCAAUGCCCUCCUGUGAGGUACAAAAUUACUUUGAAUGGUGCCAUUGUCUUAGUCGUUGAUUAAACAAAAGUUUGAGGUAAGAAUGCUAUUUCCACUAUUACCAGUUUCUCCCAAGCUUUAUAGAGCUUUUCACAGACAUAUUAUGUGGCUACAAUAUGAAUCAUCCAGACAGUUUGAACCUCACCAAUUUAAUAUGUCCAAUCUAAUCAAAUUAAUCUAAUUUUCUAAUGUGCUUAACUUCAUAAUGUGUUUGAAGUGAAAUAAUCAAAGUGAUUGUUUAGUUACUAAAUACAGCUAAAUUAGCCCUGUUAGCUCUCAUGAAAUGGACAGAAUCCUUCAAGCUGUGAAUUCAGCUACCUGUGUUUUAGAUCCCUGCCCCUUCUGGUUGGUUAAGGUCUUUCCUGAGGUGGCAGGUGUGAUAAAUGCUUCUCUGCCAGAGGAGAUGGUUCCAUCAGCAAUGAAAGAGGCAGUUGCCUCGCCCGUCAUUAUGACGCCAUUGCUGGAACCAAUAGAUCUGGACAAUUUUUGUCCAGUUUCCAACCAUCCAUUUUUAGGGAAAGUUGUUGAAAUGUUAGAAUUCCAUGGGGACCUGGAAGAAAUAGAUUAUCUGGAGCUUUUUUUAGUCAGGAUUCAAGCCUCGUUAUAGGUUGGUCAUGUUGAUAUUGAGCUCUGGUGUACUCAAGAUGCAGCUAGUGCAUCCAUCCUAGUCCUCCUUGAUCAUUCAGUGGCCUUAAAUAGUAUCAAUCAUGAUAUACUUCUGGGUGAACUCAGGAGAUCGGGAGUGGGAGGCAGUAUAUUACAGUUGUUCUCUUCCUUUUGUUAGCACAGGUUCCAUUUGAGAUUGGUAGUAGAAGAGAUUGAUCCUGGGACCUCUACUCUCUUCCAGCUCCUAUUUAACAUUUAUAUGAAGUCUCUGGGUGAGGACAUCUAUCAACACGGAGUGCAGUAUUAUUAGCAUAUUGAUGAUUCUCAGUUGUAUAUCUCCAUUAUGGGUCAACCAGAUGCUGCUGGUGAAGUCCUCUCCCAGUGCCCGGAAGUCCUGGGAGGGUUGGAUGGGGGAGAACAGGCUUUGUCUUAACCAUGACAACACUGAGUGGCUGUGGUUUUUAAGCCUCCCUUUCAGCUUUGCUCAUGGUGAUUCAUUCCUUAAUUAUCUUCUGUUUGGAUUAGUGUAACACACUGUACAUAGUCUUCCUUUGCAGGUAUUGGGAUGCUCAAGUUGAUUCAGAAUAGGUGUUUCCCAUUAUUCUCUUAUAGCAAUGGUGCUCUGCAAGCUGCACUGGAUCCCACUAGGCUUCUCAGUCUGAUUUACGAUGCUGGUUAUCACCAAUAAAGCCCUAACUAUCUAGACUAUUUGGGGGAUCUCUACUGUUGCCUCCAGCCCCCCAGAUCUAAGAGGACAUCUUCCUUCACUGUUUCCCUAAAAAAAAUGCCAUUUUCUGGACCCUAGACUUAUGUUACCUGCCCCAUGGAAUAAAAUGUCUCUGGAAAUUGAGAUAGCCCCAACCUUCUUAGCCUUUUAUAAGACUCUGAAGAAUAUUUGUUCUCCCAAAUAUUUGGUCCAGGAAAUUAAGAGACCUCUGGUGGCAAUGCUGCUUUUAUUAUUUGGUGUAUUGUUUUAAUUCAUGUUAAUGCUGUUUUAACACUGUAUGCUGCCUAAAGCCACUGUUAUGAAGUGGGCAG